rnacentral:sRNA from 1 species
CUGUAUGUUUUUUAUACAGUGCCAGGCAAAGUUAGCUGAAAAACAUUCUGUACCAAGAAUUUUUUUUGCUUCUUGCGUUACGUCAGUUUACUUACUACAAGUAAUGGGUAGUAUGUACGCCGGCUAUUUCCUCACUCUGGGGUUA